AUUGAACGCUGGCGGCAUGCCUUACACAUGCAAGUCGAACGGUAACGCGGGGCAACCUGGCGACGAGUGGCGAACGGGUGAGUAAUAUAUCGGAACGUGCCCAGUCGUGGGGGAUAACUGCUCGAAAGAGCAGCUAAUACCGCAUACGACCUGAGGGUGAAAGCGGGGGAUCGCAAGACCUCGUGCGAUUGGAGCGGCCGAUAUCAGAUUAGGUAGUUGGUGGGGUAAAAGCCUACCAAGCCAACGAUCUGUAGCUGGUCUGAGAGGACGACCAGCCACACUGGGACUGAGACACGGCCCAGACUCCUACGGGAGGCAGCAGUGGGGAAUUUUGGACAAUGGGCGCAAGCCUGAUCCAGCCAUGCCGCGUGCGGGAAGAAGGCCUUCGGGUUGUAAACCGCUUUUGUCAGGGAAGAAAAGGUUCUGGUUAAUACCUGGAGCUCAUGACGGUACCUGAAGAAUAAGCACCGGCUAACUACGUGCCAGCCGCCGCGAUAAGAC
rnacentral:rRNA from 1 species